CAGCAGCCGCGGGAACACGAAGGGGGCUAGCGUUGUUCGGAAUUACUGGGCGUAAAGCGCACGUAGGCGGACAUUUAAGUCAGGGGUGAAAUCCCGGGGCUCAACCCCGGAACUGCCUUUGAUACUGGGUGUCUAGAGUAUGGAAGAGGUGAGUGGAAUUCCGAGUGUAGAGGUGAAAUUCGUAGAUAUUCGGAGGAACACCAGUGGCGAAGGCGGCUCACUGGUCCAUUACUGACGCUGAGGUGCGAAAGCGUGGGGAGCAAACAGGAUUAGAUACCCGUGUAGUCCCUGUCUCUUAUAA
rnacentral:rRNA from 1 species